GAUGAACGCUGGCGGCGUGCCUAAUACAUGCAAGUCGAACGAAGCCUUCGGGCUUAGUGGCGGACGGGUGAGUAACACGUUGGUACCUGCCUCGAAGUGGAGAAUAACCGGCCGAAAGGUCGGCUAAUACCGCAUGUGAUCGCAAGAUCAAAGUCGUAAGACGCUUCGAGAGGGGCCUGCGUCCCAUUAGCUAGUUGGUAGGGUAAUGGCCUACCAAGGCGACGAUGGGUAGCUGGAUCGAGAGGUUGACCAGCCACACUGGGACUGAGAUACGGCCCAGACUCCUACGGGAGGCAGAAGUAAGGAAUCUUCCACAAUGGACGAAAGUCUGAUGGAGCAACGCCGCGUGCAGGAUGACGGCCUUCGGGUUGUAAACUGCUUUUAUAUGGGAAGAUUAUGACGGUACCAUAUGAAUAAGGACCGGCUAACUACGUGCCAGCCGCCGCGGUAA
rnacentral:rRNA from 1 species